rnacentral:piRNA from 1 species
UCGAAUAUUUGUGGAAAAAAU